CUUUCCUACGGGAGGCAGCAGUGGGGAAUAUUGCACAAUGGGGGAAACCCUGAUGCAGCGACGCCGCGUGAGUGAAGAAGUAUUUCGGUAUGUAAAGCUCUAUCAGCAGGGAAGAAGCAAGACGGUACCUGACUAAGAAGCCCCGGCUAACUACGUGCCAGCAGCCGCGGUAAUACGUAGGGGGCAAGCGUUAUCCGGAUUUACUGGGUGUAAAGGGAGCGUAGACGGUAUGGCAAGUCUGAAGUGAUAGCCCAGGGCUU
rnacentral:rRNA from 1 species